GCAUAUCUUCAGGGCAGGGUGUGAUUCCCGAUCGGCGGUAUAGUCCGCGAGCUGUAGCAAUAUGGCUGACUUGGUGAAACUCCAAGACCGACAGUAAAGUCUGGAUGGAAGAAGGUAUAG
rnacentral:ncRNA from 2 species